UUUAACUAUAAGACUAUCAUACACAUUUAGGUGACGUUGCCAAGACAAAUUAAGAUUUUUAGCUCUGAUGAGGAGCUCUAGAAACACUCAGCUGAUUGGUUAAUAGAUCUUUUUUAUAUGGGCGCCAAUAUACCCUACUGCCUCUAUUAUACUACCCUCAGAGCUUUCAAGAUUACGAGAACUUGUUUUUUUUAAGCAGCGGUCUACUCUGUAAUAACAUAACACCAUACGCACACACUUUGCCUGUAGGCAAUGAUCAAGUAACAAUUCCAUACUUUUUUAUAAAGUGUUUUCGGUUCGUUUUUCUUGUUCAGAAGUCUCCAUACCAGCUUCAGGUCCCACUUUAAGAAUAAGGGAGCAGAAGAGGUGAUUGAAGAAGAUGAAGAUGUUUAGAAGCUAAAUUCCAUGCCCAAUAACAAGAAAAUAAUAAGUCUUCAAUCAGACAUACGCAAAUUUCACAGGUGUCAACUCUAUCGACAUUCCAAGAAUAUUAGUUGGCGUAACAUUUUUUUAUCUAUUUCUGUAUGCUGCCCGAUGUCUACAGUCAGAGCUUUUGUUUUUAUAAGAUUUAUUACAUCGAUUCUACAAAGAAUUUUUUUUUUAGAUGGCUCGCUAACUGUAACAUAAAAGUAGUCUCAUUUAAAUCUCUUUGUUUAUUAUAGAACAUUCUUAUACCUUAUUUAGAGUACUUUUUAAAGAUUUUUAAUGGGUGGGAAAAAUAAGAUUUUGAUUUAUUUAAAUAAAUAAAAGUAAAGCGGAGAAUAUAAAAAUAUAAUUUUAUCAACAAAUAAUAAAAUGCUUGUGAGAGUGCGAGCCUUUAUGCCUGCUGUCGAGAUUCUAUCGUAUGGUCAUUAAGAAUUUGCAUUGUGAACAGUUAGGCUAAAAAAAAAUGUUAUGUUGCCAUACCCCGACCGACCCUAAAAAAUCGACCGACCCUAGAUAUUUUUAUUUAAAUUUCACAAUACAAGUUUACGUUAGCAAAGUAGGCGUGGUCGGGCGUCACUGAAAAUGUUUCAAAAGUGGUCCAAGGGCGAAAAAUAUGACAAUUAGGGGCUUUAAAGUCUCAUUUAAUUGAUCUUAUAGAUUUCAAAGCCUUUGAUGAAUAUUGUGGCAGUGUAAAAAAAAAAAAAAAAAAAAACCCACCUACCUACCCUAUCGUUUUGGGCCCGUUACACCAACAUAACAUUUUUUUUUUCAGGCCUUAGUAAUGCGUUCAUGUAUAUAAUUGUAAGGAAGUAUAAAGAAUUCUUAAAAGUUAAUCAAUGUGUAUCUGUCAUACCAGAUAUCUCCUCCAAAUAAAAUAUAAAAUUAUAUUGAGCAAUUCACAUGCAGAAUGCUCUACCCCCCAGUGACCUUAUUCUUUUGAUUUCAGAGGUUUGGAAUGGAAAUUCUACCACUAUGUGUUCCUUUGAUAACAAAUUUCCAAAGUAUUAAUAAAAUUGCAUUGAAAUUUAGCAUUCAAAUGCUACCUAUGACUCUGGAGGCCUAGAAUGGACUGACUGCGGCUUACUGUCUGCAGGCAAACAAUCACUUGUAUUUUCCUAAUAAAUAAUCCAUGGGUAUUGACCCUAUUUUGUGCCUGUUUGUGAGCUUGUACAUGAGAACUACAGAAAUGUAUGAAGAGUUUACAUAGUUGUAAAUAUGUUUUGAAUAAAGAUUAUGAAAAAGAUUGA
rnacentral:lncRNA from 1 species